GUGUGUGUGUGUGUGUGUGUGUGUGUGUGUGUGUGUGUGUGUGUAUGAAUGAAGGGAGAGGAGGAGGAGGAGGAGGAACAGGAGGUGGUAAUAAUAAUAAUAAUAAUAAUAAUAAUAAUAAACGGUUUAUUAUUUAGGCAGUUGACAAACUGAAAAUGUACAUAGGGGAUGGGGAAAAACUUAACAUUAAUCCUAAAGGUAAGUCUAAUCUAGGAGGGAAAUAAUAUUGAUUGAUGGCUCGCACCAUGGUGGGAAUCGCACUGAGUCUGUACCGGUCCGUGCGCGGCGCCUUCAGGGGCGUUAUUCUGUUGUGGUGUCUGGUGGCACGGACCGGGCGAGGCGCAUCGGGCGGCAGCAUGUUUCUGAGACGCGGAUGAUGCAGUAGUCCCCUUCCAAACUUCUCCAGAGCCUCUCGGUGCCUGGUGGAUAUUCUGGACAGACUCAGGGUGUGUGUGUGUGUGUGUGUGUGUGUGUGUGUGUGUGUGUGUGUGUGUGUGUGUGUGUGUGUGUGUGUGUGUGUGUGUGUGUUU